rnacentral:rRNA from 1 species
ACGCGAAGAACCUUACCAGGGUUUGACAUGAUACGAAUUUUUGUGAAAGCAAAAAGUGCCGUUUGGAACGUAUACACGGGUGGUGCAUGGCUGUCGUCAGCUCGUGUCGUGAGAUGUUGGGUUAAGUCCCGCAACGAGCGCAACCCUUGUUUUUAGUUGCCUUAAUGGAACUCUAAAAAGACUGCCGGUUAUAAACCGGAGGAAGGCGGGGAUGACGUCAAGUCAGCAUGCCCCUUACACCCUGGGCUACACACGUGCUACAUUGGGCGAGACAAUGAGAUGCAAACCUGCGAGGGUAAGCUAAUCUAUAAACUCGUUCUAAGUUCGGAUUGUAGGCUGCAACUCGCCUACAUGAAGGUGGAAUCGCUAGUAAUCGCUGGUCAGCUACACAGCGGUGAAUUCGUUCCCGGGCCUUGUACACACCGCCCGUCACACCAUGGAAGCUGGUUAUACCCGAAGUCGUUACUCUAACCGUUNG